UGCCAGCAGCCGCGGUAAUACGGAGGGGGCAAGCGUUAUUCGGAUUUACUGGGCGUAAAGGGCGCGCAGGCGGCCCGUUAAGUGAGAAGUGAAAGCCCUCGGCUCAACCGGGGAAUUGCUCCUCAUACUGGCGGGCUAGAGUAUGGGAGAGGGAGACGGAAUUCCCGGUGUAGCGGUGAAAUGCGUAGAGAUCGGGAGGAACAUCAGUGGCGAAGGCGGUUUCCUGGACCAUGACUGACGCUGAGGCGCGAAAGCGUGGGGAGCAAACAGGAUUAGAUA
rnacentral:rRNA from 1 species